rnacentral:rRNA from 1 species
CAGUCGCCACGGUAAUACGGAGGGAGCUAGCGUUAUUCGGAAUUACUGGCCGUAAAGCGCACGUAGGCGGCUUUGUAAGUAAGAGGUGAAAGCCCGGGGCUCAACCCCGGAAUUGCCUUUUAGACUGCAUCGCUUGAAUCAUGGAGAGGUCAGUGGAGUUCCGAGUGUAGAGGUGAAAUUCGUAGAUAUUCGGAAGAACACCAGUGGCGAAGGCGGCUGACUGGACAUGUAUUGACGCUGAGGUGCGAAAGCGUGGGGAGCAAACAGGAUUAGAUACCCCAGUAGUCCCUGUCUCUUAUAC